UACGAAGGGGGCUAGCGUUGUUCGGAAUCACUGGGCGUAAAGCGCACGUAGGCGGAUUGUUAAGUCGGGGGUGAAAUCCUGAGGCUCAACCUCAGAACUGCCUUCGAUACUGGCAAUCUCGAGUCCGGAAGAGGUUGGUGGAACAGCUAGUGUAGAGGUGAAAUUCGUAGAUAUUAGCUAGAACACCAGUGGCGAAGGCGGCCAACUGGUCCGGCACUGACGCUGAGGUGCGAAAGCUAGGGUAGCAAACGGG
rnacentral:rRNA from 1 species